rnacentral:lncRNA from 1 species
UUGAAUCAGUGGUAUAUAUUUCACUCUGAUCCGGCGCCAGAAACCGGAAAGUAGGGGCCUUUUUAGCCAAUUCUGUUUGAUAGUCAUACAUCCUGUUGAAGUAUAAGAGCUGAUGGAACACAGUCCCCUCCACUGGUGCAUAUUUGGGGUUUCUGAUUGACUUGCCAGCAUAGAUCCUUACUAUUAAAACUAAUAUAGGAGUCACACAAAUGAACAAGAGAAUAGCUAUAGAGGUGAACAUUGUAUAGAGAAUAUCCAUUUCUUUUUCCAGAAAUGUUGUAUAUUUGGAGAUAUGACCACCAUCUCUAGGUACUAUUUAACACACAAAUAGCAAAGUCAAAUCAAGAAAAUUGUUCACAAAUCAUAUAGAAAAUGAACUGACAGAAACUUGCAGAAUAAACAAUAGAACAUGUCACUGUUCUCUUGGAGUAUGAUUUAAUUAGACAUUUAUACUAAUAUAGGUUGGGCCCUCUGUGGAUUUGAAUAUAGAUAUGGCGCUUCAUCAUCAGUCACACAGAUAUCUAAGGUUUAUCUAGUGUGCAACUUACCCUGCUGUUUUUGCAUGUGUGUCCUCACACCAGCAAUCACCAUCCUUAAUUUCUAUGCUUAUAUGAGCACUAAUUUAACUUGCACAGUUAUCCCAACAAGAUUGAACAUAAUGUUGGGAUUGAAAUAACAACAGACGUUGUGAAAACUAACAAUUGCAAACGUUUAAGGGCGAUAAAUAGAACAAUAAAAGUAAAAUUCUACAAGGGGCGUAAAAAGUUAUUUAUUUUGGUCCAUGGAAACUAAUAUUACCCUCUAUCCAUAAUAUUUACCUAGAUUAUAUAUAAGUAUUUUAUGACAAUAUAUUGUAUUUACUACCAAACAUACAAAAAUCACUUGUUUUCUCGAAAAAUACAUUUAUAUAGGAGCAAUAUUUUUCUUUCUAACCUGAGGAUAAAGGGGUUCUCUGGUAGCUGGAAGUUUGUUAUGAUUUCAACUCCUUUUUAGUUUGUUAUUCAAGUUCACCAAAAAAGCCAGGUUACGAAUAUGGAAUUCUGAGUGCAACAUCUCACUAAUAUGAAGUCAUUCCUUACUUUUAAGACGAAAUCAAGAACAUGAUGGAAUAUUAGCAUCCACUUUCUUGUCACAAAGUUGAACUUAUAGUUCAUAUGAUGGAAUGGAAAGUAAUUACAUCUGUAGAUUAGCUUUAAAGAUGACUUAUAUAGAUUGAAAUUUGAAAGUGCCUUUGUGUAUUUCAUGCUUCUACUAAUCCUCUUCUUGGAACUGCACGAACCUGCAGCCCUUCUUUGAUGUGGAGUGUAAACAUGGUUCUAUAAGUUACUUCUUUCGUGUCAUCGGAUAAUUUGAACCUGAAGAAAUGGAGAAGAGCCAUUGAUACUAUCUUCAUUUUCCGAUAAGCAAAAUCUUUGCCUAGACAUAAUCUUGGACCAGCCUGUAAAUUUAAUAAACCACUGAGUUAGAGAAGAGAUAAUAUGAUGCAACCCCAGUGUCAAGGAAGAUUUAGCAGUAUCCCUUGUGGUAUUCUAAUCCCAAUUGCAGAUGAUAUACAAUACAGGCCAAAAGAAUAUAUAGAUUCUUUAGACCAAAGUAAAUUACUAUCUUCGCGGUUACAGACUAACAUAAACCCCAAAAAGCCCUUGGUGAGAUCUUGAUCAGCUCUCUGCUAAACCUAGCUAGCUCAUAAGGUGAGGAUUUCCCAAGUCCAUAUAAAAAGACCACGUGUCCAUUCCCCAACCAAUGUGGGACUCUAACCCACUCUAACACGAACUGUACGUAACAACAACUAUAUAGCCUCAGUGAUCACCUAUAUCAUUUCGGGAGACACUAAGUAUGAAUAAUUAAAACAUACGCUUACAUGAAAUGCUAUGAAUUUGAAUGGUGACUCUGGCUGGAAAAUCCCAUCUUUCAACCAUCUUUCUGGUCGGAAAUCCUCAGCAUCAUCCCCCCAAACGUAAGGCAUCCUCCCCAUUGCAUAGGACAUAUAAUAAACCCCAUCCCCUUUCUUGAUGUGAAAGCCAUCAGGAAGAACAUCAUCUGCAUCUGCACACCUGCCAUCCUGCAUAUCAACAAAUGACAUGUUGCAUAUGAGAUAUAGUCACAGAUAGAUACAACAGGGCAGAAAUGCUAGAUUUAUUUGGUUUUGCAUAUAUUGCAGUUUUAUGGACAGAAGUAGUACCACUGGGACAGCAGGGUAUAGCCUCAAGGUCUCUGUCAAUGUUGCAUGAAGAUAAUGCAUUUUCUCGAGGACCUCUUCUGUAAUACUUGCUACAAAAUCAUCCACACUUCCAUUAUCCUUCAUGUUAUUAUCAAUAACUUCUCUUAUUUCCUCAACAAUCUUUAUUUGGAUUAAGGGGUUCUUGCAAAGCACAUAGAAAAACCAUGAAAGAGUAUUAGCAGUACUAUCUUUGCCAGCAAGCAUGAAAUUCAGUAUAAUAUCUCUGAGAUACCGAUUAGUCAUUUUUUCUGGAUCCUUCUUGCUCUCUACCAGAAACCUUGAGAGUAUGUCCUCCUUAUCCAUCUUGCAGAACAGAAAGAAAGUUAAUAAUUAUGUUAGACGAGAUUCCAAAAUAGCUUUAGAAGAUGGAAAUGCUUCAUUUCUAGCUCUCCAAACAUUUUAAUAACUAAGACUUACAGAAUCUUGUUUCAUUUCUAGCUGUUUGCGCCUUGUUCUAAUCAAUUCAUCAACGAAUUCUUGAAUGAACUUGAUGUUCUUUUUCAGAAGAAAUUCAGAGCCGAUGUUGAAGUAUCUCUUAAGCUUCCAGAAUGGAUCGACAUAACGCCAAUAUGACAAUGCAUUUGAAUCAUCAAAGGCCUUGAUGAAUUUGUUAUCAUCUCCACUUGAUCCUUCCAGGCAGUUCAGAUCAACUCCAAAGCCAACUUUGAAUAUUGAUUCCAGGGAACAUCUCAUUAGCAGUUCCUACAAGUGUGGUAGCAUAUUUUAGUGAUAAAAAUUGGCUUAGUGAUAUAACCCGGAAAUUCAUUAAAUUCUUCAAUGACUUACUUGCAUAUCAAAAACUUGGUUGGCAAGAGAUAACUCAGAAACCUUGCUCACCAACUUGGUUGCUCCUUUUCUGAAAACUUUGCAGCUAAAGUCUCUCAAUACUCUAGCUGAGAACUCAAAACUUGCAAGCUUUCUCUGUUGCUUCCAUUUCUCACCAUCCACCGCGAAAAUCCCUUCACCAAACAAAUCCAUUAUAACCUCUUGAUUUCGCUUUCCUUUAGAGUACUUACUAAAGUUUGUCUUAAGAAUGUACUCAAUAUUUCUUGAAUCAGUGGUAUAUGUUUCACUCUGCUCCGGCGCCAGAAACCGGAAAGUAGGGGUCUUUUUAGCCAAUUCUGUUUGAUAAUCAUAGACUCUGUUGAAGUAUAAAAGCUGAUGGAACACAGUCCCCUCCACUGGUGCAUAUUUGGGGUUUCUGAUUGACUUGCCAGCAUAGAUCCUUACUAUUAAAAUUAAUAAAGGAGUCACACAAAUGAACAAGAGAAUAGCUAUAGAGAUGAAGAUGGUAUAAAGAACAUCCAUUUCCUUUUUCAGAUCUGUUUUAUAUAUUUGGAGAGAUGACAACCAUCUCUAUGUACUAUAUACCACACAGAUGCAAAGUCAAAUCAAGAAAAUUGAUCACAUAUCAUAUAUAAAAUGAAUUUGACAGAAACUUGAAGAAUAAACAAAAGAAUAUGUCACUGUUCCUUUGGAAUAUGAUUUAAUAAUACAU